rnacentral:misc_RNA from 1 species
GAUGAAGAACGUAGCGAAAUGCGAUAAGUAGUGUGAAUUGCAGGAUUCAGUGAAUCAUCGAAUCUUUGAACGCACAUUGCGCCCUUUGGUAUUCCUUAGGGCAUGCCUGUUCGAGCGUCAUUUGAAACCUCAAGCUCAGCUUGGUGUUGGGUGUCUGUCCCCGCCUCACCGCGGGGACUCGCCUCAAAAUCAUUGGCGGCCGGUACGUUGGCUUCGAGCGCAGCAGAAACGCGAACUCGAGGCCCGGCGGAUCGGCGACCAGAAGUCACUUCUUCACAGUUUGACCUCGGAUCAGGUAGGGAUACCCGCUGAACUUAAGCAUAUCAAUAAGCGGAGGA